rnacentral:lncRNA from 1 species
CUGGGGCUCGGGGAAAUAACAGGAUAGAUCUUGUCGUCCCUUCAAGUCAAGAAAACCCCCGUGGGUAGUGUCUGAACCCUUCUUUUCUUUUGGCUCAAAGCUUGCUUUCUGAGGCAUGUUUUGUGAUAAGACUCUAACUGACUUACCAAGGAGGCAAAUGGUGGGUGUCGCCGUGUGGCAAUCAACAUCAACGUGUGAACAGGGUCGGCUGGUUUGCCAUGGCUGCCCCCUGGCGGAAGGCUAUUUCUAGGAAAAAUGCGGGGACACAGACUGAGGUCCAAUGCACAGAUAAAAAGAUGGCCGCUGCCAAGAAAAAUGAGGAGACCCAGAUGGAGGUCCCACAGCAACAUGUUAGUACUCAGGUUUUUGGCUGCGGUGAGUGCUUGAGCUUGGCCCUUGCAGUGCAGGGUGAUGGAGAAAGCGUGUGUGUCAGAUGCGACCAGCUAAAUGAUUUACUUAGCCUGGUGGCUGAUCUGAAAGAAGAAGUGGAGAGGCUGAGGAUUAUUAGGGAGUGUGAGCAGGAGAUUGAUAGGUGGUGCCAGUCCCUGCCAUCCCUGAGAUUGAGGCAGCCAGCUGCAGCCCUGCACGAAGCAUGUCACCCCCUACCGCCUUGCAAACAGGUAACAGGGGGGAACCAGCAGGCAGGCAGUGUUCCUGCUGCAGUGAUCUCCCUGUCCUCUCCCCCACCUAACAACGGUGAUGAACUGGGGGGGCAGGGUGCAAUGGCAAAAGGUCCCUGCUCGGCGGUGCAGGCGCACCCACCCAGUGAUUCCCCUCCCUCCUCAGCUGCCCCUGCAGAACAGGUACAGUGCUCUGCGGGAACAGCUGGACAUGGAGAUGAUGGUUCUCCCCACUUGGAGGUGUCUCCAAAGCCCAGCAGGACUACCCCUAACAUUAAAACAUCCUCAGUAAAGAACAAAAGACGAGUCAUUGUUGUUGGUGACUUGGUGCUGAAGGGAGUGGAAGGCCCAAUAUGUAGACCUGACCCUCUACACAGGGAAGUCUGCUGCCUCCCGGGAGCCCAGGUUAAAGACAUAAGGAAGAAACUUCCGUUCCUAGUACGGCCCUCAGAUUAUUAUCCUCUGUUGUUGUUUCAGGUAGGCAGUGAUGAAAUAGGAAGAACCUCCCUUAGAACCAUGAAAAAGGACUUCAGAGCCUUAGGGCGGCUGGUCAAGUGUUUGGGAGC